UCCAUGAUGAUGAAGAAGAUGUUUCCUUCAGAGCAGGAAGCUGGUGAGAAGAUGAGAAUCUUCUUCACUGAUGAAGACUGUUCAGUGUUUCUGGAUGAGACACUGAAGGAGGAAACAUUGUCUGAGUGGA
rnacentral:snoRNA from 1 species